rnacentral:rRNA from 1 species
AUAUUUAGAUCAGAAGCGAGAAUGUUGACAUGAGUAGCGACAAAGAGGGUGAGAGACCCUCUCGCCGAAAGUCCAAGGGUUCCUGCUUAAAGCUAAUCUGAGCAGGGUAAGCCGGCCCCUAAGGCGAGGCCGAAAGGCGUAGUCGAUGGGAACCAGGUUAAUAUUCCUGGGCCAGUGGGAUGUGACGGAUCUCGAAGAUUGUCUGCCCUUAUCGGAUUGGGUGGGCCGUUCAGAGGUUCCUGGAAAUAGCCCCACAUCAGACCGUACCCUAAACCGACACAGGUGGACUGGUAGAGUAUACCAAGGCGCUUGAGAGAACCACGUUAAAGGAACUCGGCAAAAUGCUCCCGUAAGUUCGCGAGAAGGGAGCCCCAUAUGUACGCAAGUAUGUGUGGGGGGCACAAACUAGGGGGUGGCGACUGUUUACUUAAAACACAGGGCUGUGCGAAGCCGUAAGGCGACGUAUACAGUCUGACGCCUGCCCGGUGCUGGAAGAUUAAGAGGAGGGGUGCAAGCUCUGAAUUGAAGUCCCAGUAAACGGCGGCCGUAACAAUAACGGUCCUAAGGUAGCGAAAUUCCUUGUCGGGUAAGUUCCGACCUGCACGAAUGGCGUAACGAUCUCCCCGCUGUCUCUAACGUGGACUCAGCGAAAUUGAACUGUCUGUCAAGAUGCAGACUACCCGCGGUUAGACGGAAAGACCCCAUGAACCUUUACUCCAGCUUUGCACUGGUAUCAGGAUUGUGAUGUGCAGGAUAGGUGGUAGGCAUUGAAGCGGGGACGCCAGUCUUCGUGGAGCCUCCCUUGAGAUACCACCCUUCGCCAUCUUGAUAUCUAACCGCGGCCCGUUAUCCGGGUCCGGGACCCUGCAUGGUGGGGAGUUUGACUGGGGCGGUCGCCUCCCAAAUUGUAACGGAGGCGCGCGAUGGUUGGCUCAGACCGGUCGGAAAUCGGUCGUUGAGUGCAAUGGCAGAAGCCAGCCUGACUGCAAGACUGACAAGUCGAGCAGAGACGAAAGUCGGUCAUAGUGAUCCGGUGGUCCCAAGUGGGAGGGCCAUCGCUCAACGGAUAAAAGGUACUCUGGGGAUAACAGGCUGAUGAUGCCCAAGAGUCCAUAUCGACGGCAUCGUUUGGCACCUCGAUGUCGGCUCAUCUCAUCCUGGGGCUGGAGCAGGUCCCAAGGGUAUGGCUGUUCGCCAUUCAAAGAGGUACGUGAGCUGGGUUUAGAACGUCGUGAGACAGUUCGGUCCCUAUCUGCCGUGGGUGCAGGAGACUUGAGAAGAGUUGACCCUAGUACGAGAGGACCGGGUUGAACGAACCACUGGUGGACCAGUUACCGUGCUAACGGUAGUGCUGGGUAGCUAUGUUCGGACAGGAUAACCGCUGAAGGCAUCUAAGCGGGAAGCCCCCUUCAAAACAAGGUCUCCCUUGAGGGCCGUGGAAGACCACCACGUCGAUAGGCCAGAGGUGUAAGUGCAGCAAUGCAUUCAGCUGACUGGUACUAAUUGAC